rnacentral:rRNA from 1 species
GAUGAACGCUAGCGGCAGGCAUAAUACAUGCAAGGCGAAGGGGCAGCAAUGUCACUGUCGUACGGGUGCGUAACGCGUAUGCAACCUACCUAUCACUGGGGGAUAGCCCGGGGAAACCCGGAUUAAUACCGCAUAAAACAGGGGCACCGCAUGGCGAUAUUUGUUAAAGAUUUAUUGGUGAUAGAUGGGCAUGCGUUCGAUUAGCUAGUUGGCGGGGUAACGGCACACCAAGGCGACGAUCGAUAGGGGAGCUGAGAGGUUGGUCCCCCACACCGGAACUGAGAUACGGGCCCGACUCCUACGGGAGGCAGAAGUAGGGAAUAUUGGGCAAUGGAUGCAAGUCUGACCCAGCCAUGCCGCGUGCCGGAUGAAGGCCCUCAGGGUUGUAAACGGCUUUUAUUCGGGAAGAAGAGCAGGGAUGCGUCCUUGUGUGACGGUACCGAAUGAAUAAGCACCGGCUAACUCCGUGCCAGCCGCCGCCGUAAGAC